AACGAACGCUGGCGGCAUGCCUAACACAUGCAAGUCGAACGAGACCUUCGGGUCUAGUGGCGCACGGGUGCGUAACGCGUGGGAACCUGCCCUUAGGUUCGGAAUAACUCCCCGAAAGGGGUGCUAAUACCGGAUAAUGUCUUCGGACCAAAGAUUUAUCGCCUUUGGAUGGGCGCGCGUUGGUUUAGCUAGUUGGUAGUGUAAAAGCCUGCCAAGGCGACGAUCCAGAGCUGGUCUGAGAGGAUGAUCAGCCACACUGGGACUGAGACACGGCCCAGAAUCCUACGGGGAGGAGCAGUGGGGAAUAUUGGACAAGGGGCGAAAGCCUGAUAAAGCAAUGCGGCGGGAGAGAUGAAGGGCUUAGGGUUGUAAAGCCCUUUUACCCGGGAUGAGAAUGACAGUACCGGGAGAAUAAGCACCGGCUAACUACGUG
rnacentral:rRNA from 1 species